AGAGCGAACGCUGGCGGCAGGCUUAACACAUGCAAGUCGAGCGGGCGUAGCAAUACGUCAGCGGCAGACGGGUGAGUAACGCGUGGGAACGUACCUUUUGGUUCGGAACAACCCAGGGAAACUUGGGCUAAUACCGGAUAAGCCCUUACGGGGAAAGAUUUAUCGCCGAAAGAUCGGCCCGCGUCUGAUUAGCUAGUUGGUGAGGUAAUGGCUCACCAAGGCGACGAUCAGUAGCUGGUCUGAGAGGAUGAUCAGCCACAUUGGGACUGAGACACGGCCCAAACUCCUACGGGAGGCAGCAGUGGGGAAUAUUGGACAAUGGGCGCAAGCCUGAUCCAGCCAUGCCGCGUGAGUGAUGAAGGCCCUAGGGUUGUAAAGCUCGUUUUGUGCGGGAAGAUAAUGACGGUACCGCAAGAAUAAGCCCGGCUAACUUCGCGCCAGCAGCCGC
rnacentral:rRNA from 1 species